GUCCACGCCGUAAACGAUGGAUACUAGAUAUCGGGACUUAAGUUUCGGUGUCGUAGCUAACGCGUUAAGUAUCCCGCCUGGGGAGUACGGUCGCAAGAUUAAAACUCAAAGGAAUUGACGGGGACCCGCACAAGCGGUGGAGCAUGUGGUUUAAUUCGAUGCUACGCGAAGAACCUUACCACCCCUUAACAUCCCGAUCGCGGAGACCAGAAAUGGACUCCUUCAGCUCGGCUGGAUCGGUGAUAGGUGUUGCAUGGCUGUCGU
rnacentral:rRNA from 1 species